rnacentral:lncRNA from 1 species
CGCGGAGCCGGGAGCGCGCCGCCUGCUGCCGAGCGCUCGCCGCUCUCUCGCGCCCCUGCUCGCUGCGCUGCCCGCACCCCCGUGGAGCGCCCGGCAGCCGCCGGAGCGCGGGAGGCACACCCCGCCGGGCUCGGGCCGAGGCGGCGCGACCGCAGGUCCGACAGCCGAGGGCGCCGCGGAGGCCGGAGCGGAGGCGAAGUCCAGCCCUGAGUGAGCCCAGCUUCUGCGGAUCAGGGACACCCCUCCACGUUUGAAAAUGGCAGAAAAACAGCUAAACAGAAUGAUUGCACAAACUCUUGAAAGGCGUCCAAGAGAGUAAAAUGAAGAAAAUGUCAGCGCGCGGGGAGAGAAAGUAGAGCGGCUUGAGAUUCCCGUCUUCCCGCUGGCCGGCGAGGACCAGGAGAACCGCUCGGAGAGUCAGCGCGGCUCUUCCCCCAGGAAGGAACCCUGACCCUGGCGGCUGCUUUUGUGGCUUCGCUUGUCUUUUGCCCUCCUCUGUCUCCUGAGCAGG